rnacentral:rRNA from 1 species
UACGAAGGGAGCUAGCGUUGUUCGGAAUUACUGGGCGUAAAGGGCGCGUAGGCGGUCUAAUAAGUCAGGUGUGAAAGCCCUGGGCUCAACCCGGGAACUGCGCUUGAUACUAUUAGUCUUGAAUUCGGUAGAGGUUGGUGGAAUUCCCAGUGUAGAGGUGAAAUUCGUAGAGAUUGGGAAGAACACCCGUGGCGAAGGCGGCCAACUGGACCGACAUUGACGCUGAGGCGCGAAAGCGUGGGGAGCAAACAGG